GCCCAGACUCCUACGGGAGGCAGCAGUGGGGAAUAUUGCACAAUGGGGGGAACCCUGAUGCAGCGACGCCGCGUGAGUGAAGAAGUAUUUCGGUAUGUAAAGCUCUAUCAGCAGGGAAGAUAAUGACGGUACCUGACUAAGAAGCCCCGGCUAACUACGUGCCAGCAGCCGCGGUAAUACGUAGGGGGCAAGCGUUAUCCGGAUUUACUGGGUGUAAAGGGUGCGUAGGUGGCAGGGCAAGUCAGAUGUGAAAGCCCGGGGCCCAACCCCGGUACUGCAUUUGAAACUGUCCGGCUGGAGUGCAGGAGAGGUAAGCGGAAUUCCUAGUGUAGCGGUGAAAUGCGUAGAUAUUAGGAGGAACACCAGUGGCGAAGGCGGCUUACAGGACUGUAACUGACACUGAGGCACGAAAGCGUGGGGAGCAAACAGGAUUAGAUACCCUAGUAUG
rnacentral:rRNA from 1 species